GCGUCGAUGAGGUAACGGUAGCCUCUCAGUCUCCAAAACUGAUCGUCCUCGUUCGAAUCGAGGUCGGCGCGCCA
rnacentral:tRNA from 1 species